UACGUAGGUGGCAAGCGUUGUCCGGAAUUACUGGGUGUAAAGGGCGUGUAGGCGGGAAUGUAAGUCAGAUGUGAAAUCCCAGGGCUUAACCCUGGAGCUGCAUCUGAAACUAUGUUUCUUGAGUGCCGGAGAGGAAAGCGGAAUUCCUAGUGUAGCGGUGAAAUGCGUAGAUAUUAGGAGGAACACCAGUGGCGAAGGCGGCUUUCUGGACGGUAACUGACGCUGAGGCGCGAAAGCGUGGGGAGCAAACAGG
rnacentral:rRNA from 1 species